GGGUGGAAUGGAUAUACACUACAGAAGGCGGACUUCCUCUCCGGGUGGAACGCAACGAAAAGUCCACUGGCCCCCCCAAAGAACGACUCCACCGAUGUGCACGCACGCAUGUAGAUCAACGGAGUGGAGCAUGUAGCGGCCUUAAAAGCUUACUGCAGCUUAUCACGGGUUAAUGAGUAAACGACAGGUCUGGAGUCAGCAAAGGAGACAGAGAGAUCCAUGGGGCAGACAGAGAGAGAAUGAGAGAGGUUUAACCGAUCGGUGGUUCAACUAUGCAAUUCUGGACAAGAUCAGAGAGAGGAUCUCUGGGAGACAGAGGACUCCUGGACGUGGCAGCUUACAGGAAAACGAAUCAGGAUUGACCGUUGACCCCCAGUGUCAGCCUCACAUCUGCCCAAAGAAGAUGGAGCAAAGCAGGAAGAUGGCAUAGAGGAAUAUCAGCCCCAGGCCUAGCCGGCGGUCCAGCUUCCAGUGGUUCAGAUGGACACUCAUCACCUGGAGGGAGAGGAGGUGAAGGGGCAGAAAGGGAGGUGGAGAGAGAACGGGAUGGGCAGAUGGAGAGGGGUUCAGUGGAAAGGGAACGAGAGGGUGCAAGAGGUAAAAAUGAAUAGCUUUGCUAUGACUGGAUGGUUGGUGGAACCGCACAAUUAAACGUGUCUCGAACCGAAACAGUAGAUGAACCCACACCCGUCUCCAGAGAGACUGUACUAUACUUGCCCUGCCUUCUGCCACCCUGCUUAUGGUCCAUAACAAAUGUAUUGUAAAAAGUUCAAUACCAAUAAAACUAUAAUCUCCCUG